rnacentral:lncRNA from 1 species
GGAUGUUUGGAGUUCAGGUUAGGCUUGCUACGGGUUCUGGCAGCCUUAAGCCGAUCUAGAUCCUAGCGCCGAGCAGUUUGGGCCAUUACAGAGAGGUACUGGUUUCCGGGCUGUUACAGAUGGUAUCAGAGCAUAGGGCCUCCUAAGUACGGUGUGUUGAGCAUUUUUGUUCAAGGAUUAGAGAUAUCCCACAUCGGAAAGAGGUUGGUUUAGAUGUGCU